rnacentral:lncRNA from 1 species
AGUGGGAUGUCUUUGAAUUCUCUGUCAAAUCCUUCGCUUAAUCUUUCUUUGAUAACAAAGUUAGAUCUCUCCAACAACAACCUCAAGGUGAAUUAUAUAAUGAUCGACCAACUGUAUUUUCAUUUGAGUUCAUUAAUUAGUUCUUCAUGUUUUCAACUAAUUAAUAUGAAUGCAUAUGCAUGCAUCGAUCACGUAUAUUUGCUGUUCAGACCAUACCCGAAUCUUUGACGGCGAGGUUGCUAAACUUGCUGGAACUCGACGUCCACUCCAAUCAACUCACAUCACUUCCGAAUUCCAUUGGUUGCUUAUCGAAGCUCCAGGUAUUGAAUGUCUCCGCCAAUCUUCUUAAAAUCCUCCCCAAGUCUGUGGAUGAUUGCAAGUAAGCAAUUCAAUCAAUCAACUUCGUUUGAUUUGAAUCAAAUAUGUAUAAUUAAUUAUUAUUAUUGCAUCUAAAUAAAUGAAGGUGUUUGGAAGAGCUGAAUGCCAAUUUCAACAGAUUAGAAACAAUAUCGAAGACGAUGGGUUAUGAACUCUCCAACCUUCAAAAGCUAUCACUAAACUCAAAUAAACUAUCCUUCCUCCCACAAUCAAUUUCUCACAUCACCACUCUCCGUAUCCUUGACGUUCACCUCAACGCUCUCCAGUCUCUUCCAGAAGGACUUGAGAGCCUCAUCCAUCUCAAGAUCCUAAACAUUAGUCAGAACUUCCAUCGCCU